GACGAACGCUGGCGGCGUGCUUAACACAUGCAAGUCGAGCGGUAAGGCCCUUUCGGGGGUACGACGAGCGGCGAACGGGUGAGUAACACGUGGGUGACCUGCCCUCAGCUCUGGGAUAAGCCCGGGAAACUGGGUCUAAUACCGGAUAUGACUUCAUGACGCAUGUUGUGGAGUGGAAAGCCUUGUGCGGCUGAGGAUGGGCCCGCGGCCUAUCAGCUUGUUGGUGGGGUGAUGGCCUACCAAGGCGACGACGGGUAGCCGGCCUGAGAGGGCGACCGGCCACACUGGGACUGAGAUACGGCCCAGACUCCUACGGGA
rnacentral:rRNA from 1 species